AGCGUAUCUAGUCUAUGGAUAUCUAUGGUCGGCACGUCUGGUAGCAUCUCUGGCUGCUGUUGACCUUGUUUUUGGAGUAAAACACGGUGGAAGCUGAAUUAGUGAGGAUGACUCCUGCUCCUGUCAUCUCUAAGCGCCUCACACAUCUUUACCUGCACAUGAGGAAAAUCACUCCUGUAGAAUGCAGAUGUUCAGAGGGAGAUGAUGCCACAUCUGGUCCAGCCGAUGGAAGGUCUUGAAGUUCUCUGACUGGCCUCGACUGAAGAUGGUCGUCUCACUGGAUUUAAGGUUCAGAUGCUCAGUAACAAACUCCACCAAUGAGCCAACAGGGAAGCUUUAGGUUUAUUAAAUGUUGCUAUGAAGGUAUUGCUGUUUUUCUUUGUGAAUGCAAUGUGCUCCAACUGAAACUUGAAUUAGAACUUGGAAAUAAAUCCUUCCAUCUGAAAGGAUUUAGUUGCAUUAAUAACCUCAUAACAUUCUAAUUUUUAUUCCAGUCUUAGUUGGAAAUAGAAUCUCUGUAUUGAUUCAGGUAAAAACUGAACUUCACAGCAUGAUGGAGCAAAACACCCAGAUGAAAACUGUGAUGGUGUUGGAUUGUCAGACCGUAAUGUUGCAGCUCAAAGCAGCUUUUCUAGCUCAGUUCAUUCUGACAUUCAGCUAUGAAUCAACACAGCAGAUGGUGAUCCAUGCUGUGGAAGUCUCACAUCUCCUGAUUUAAUGGAGCUGCUUUGCACUUUUUACACUGUUUAUUCACCAACACUUUAUUUAAUAAAAGUCCCAUCUAGUUUUUAUGAGGAAUGUGAUGUUUUAAUUUCUCUGUGAAUAACUGCAGUCUAAUGCAACAGCUGGAGUUGUAACAUCUGUCCUGAUAUUGAUCAUGGAGUAUUGAUCAGAAUACUUAUGGUCAGCAGUCAUCCCUGAAGUUUUACAUUAAAAUCUUUACUUGUGUUGUGAACUUUAGUAAGAAGCAGAAACGUUAGUGUUGCCAUGGAUACAUGAGUGUUAAAUUCUGUCCAUGUUUCCAUUUUGGGAAAUUCAGUCCAGCAGAUGAGUUUGUGUUUACUGCCAGCGACCAUUCAGUCUGAGAUAUUAAGAAUAAAUAAAUGUGUAUAAUGUGGAAAUGAACAGAUUUUAUUUUUAUUUAUUCCUACAGCUGCUGCAUUUAAAGUUCUAGAAUGUGGAGGAAUUUAGUCUCACAAUCAGAGACAACAAAUAUUAUCUGAAAGUCGGGUUAUUGUUGUUUAGCAGCACAAUACAAAAAGAUUAAUGUUAGAAAUAUUCCAGUUGAGACUCUAGAAUAUCAUGAUUUAUGUAAAUUUACCUCAAUAAUAUGAAUGUUCAGGUUAAGAUUGUACAGUGAUAUUUAUUAUGUAAGUUUAGCUGAUUAAACAAAUGACUCUGCACUAAAAUAUUACUUAAAUUUACAUCAUUAUUAUAGUAUUUAGGGUCAGACCCUACAGUAUUGCGAUUAAGAAAUCAAAUAUUUUAUAAAAUGUAAAUACACUGAACUCAUUUGGAUAUAUUUAAGUGAGACUCUACAAUAUUAUUUUACACAAAUCUAUCUAAAUCAAAAUUUUAAUAAUUUUCACGCCAAACAUUUACUGGACUGAUUUAAAUAUUAAAAUCACUCCUUUCUAAUCCUCUGCUGUACAUUCAAACCUGAGGCCUUAAAUAGAAACACACAAGUAUCUGAUUGAAGGAACUUCUGCAGAGUCCUGGUUCCAGAACAUGAUGAUAGAAUUAUAGACAAACUUUAACAAAAGCUGACUGAGAGUUUACAGGUUUUUAUGUUAGAUUUCUUCAGUAAUUUAAUGAGAGUUAUCAGCAAUAAUCAAGUGUUCAUUUGAUGAACUUCAUUUCCUAAAACAUCCAGAAUUGGAGCUCAUAUCUUUGACAGCUGUAAAGUUUCUGCUCCUUCAAAGUUCACAGCACAAUGAAUUAAUUCCUAAAACACUCUCAAUGCUGGAGAGCGUUUGUGAUGCUGAAGCAGUGACCAGUUUUUCUG